rnacentral:rRNA from 1 species
AGGGCCCUACGGGGGGCAGCAGUGAGGAAUAUUGGUCAAUGGACGGAAGUCUGAACCAGCCAUGCCGCGUGCAGGAAGACGGCUCUAUGAGUUGUAAACUGCUUUUGUACAAGGGUAAACCUGAAUACGUGUAUUCAGCUGAAAGUACUGUACGAAUAAGGAUCGGCUAACUCCGUGCCAGCAGCCGCGGUAAUACGGAGGAUCCAAGCGUUAUCCGGAUUUAUUGGGCUUAAAGGGAGCGUAGGCGGAUUGAUAAGUUAGAGGUGAAAGGUCCGAGCUCAACUCGGUAA